rnacentral:piRNA from 1 species
UCCAAAUGCUGACCUGCCUUGUGCC